GCGCACGCAGGCGGUCUGUCAAGUCGGAUGUGAAAUCCCCGGGCUCAACCUGGGAACUGCAUUCGAAACUGGCAGGCUAGAGUCUUGUAGAGGGGGGUAGAAUUCCAGGUGUAGCGGUGAAAUGCGUAGAGAUCUGGAGGAAUACCGGUGGCGAAGGCGGCCCCCUGGACAAAGACUGACGCUCAGGUGCGAAAGCGUGGGGAGCAAACAGGAUUAGAUACCCUGGUAGUCCACGCCGUAAACGAUGUCGAUUUGGAGGUUGUGCCCUUGAGGCGUGGCUUCCGGAGCUAACGCGUUAAAUCGACCGCCUGGGGAGUACGGCCGCAAGGUUAAAACUCAAAUGAAUUGACGGGGGCCCGCACAAGCGGUGGAGCAUGUGGUUUAAUUCGAUGCAACGCGAAGAACCUUACCUGGUCUUGACAUCCACAGAACUUUCCAGAGAUGGAUUGGUGCCUUCGGGAACUGUGAGACAGGUGCUGCAUGGCUGUCGUCAGCUCGUGUUGUGAAAUGUUGGGUUAAGUCCCGCAACGAGCGCAACCCUUAUCCUUUGUUGCCAGCGGUUCGGCCGGGAACUCAAAGGAGACUGCCAGUGAUAAACUGGAGGAAGGUGGGGAUGACGUCAAGUCAUCAUG
rnacentral:rRNA from 1 species